GUCGAUCGAGCAAGAGAAGAGAAGGGAAAAACCCUAAAGCUUAACAAUUUCAGCAAAUUGAAGAUGAUUCAAGGACAAAUUCGAAUGCAUGUCUUUAAUUUCUCAAUCAUCUAAGUAUCCUCAACCCUAGGCACGAAGAAGGAAGAAGGCGCAAGUCACUCGAAGGCAUAAGUAUCUCAAGAUCGCGGUAAAUCCUCAACUUAGGCGACUCGGCGAAAUGGAGCGAGCACACGAUCAAAAUAUGUCUUACCAAGCGCUUCCGCUAGCUUAUGUUAAUGUUUUGGGUCAAAAUACUUUUUGUACAAAUUGUUGGUAAAACGCCUUUAAGUACUUGAUGUUUUAGUUUUAGUAGUAUCUUGUAGAAUGAUAUUGUUUUGGUUGUGGUUAAAACAGGGGCAUACUCGUUUUACGGACGGGUCAUGCCCAAUUUUUGUAAAAAUUUUAAUUAUGUAUUCA